rnacentral:rRNA from 1 species
GAUGAACGCUGGCGGCGUGCCUAAUACAUGCAAGUCGAGCGAACAGACGAGGAGUUUGCUCCUCUGACGUUAGCGGCGGACGGGUGAGUAACACGUGGAUAACCUACCUAUAAGACUGGGAUAACUUCGGGAAACCGGAGCUAAUACCGGAUAAUAUAUUGAACCGCAUGGUUCAAUAGUGAAAGACGGUUUUGCUGUCACUUAUAGAUGGAUCCGCGCCGCAUUAGCUAGUUGGUAAGGUAACGGCUUACCAAGGCAACGAUGCGUAGCCGACCUGAGAGGGUGAUCGGCCACACUGGAACUGAGACACGGUCCAGACUCCUACGGGAGGCAGCAGUAGGGAAUCUUCCGCAAUGGGCGAAAGCCUGACGGAGCAACGCCGCGUGAGUGAUGAAGGUCUUCGGAUCGUAAAACUCUGUUAUUAGGGAAGAACAAAUGUGUAAGUAACUAUGCACGUCUUGACGGUACCUAAUCAGAAAGCCACGGCUAACUACGUG